GAUGAACGCUCGCUACAGGCUUAACACAUGCAAGUCGAGGGGAAACGACAUCGAAAGCUUGCUUUUGAUGGGCGUCGACCGGCGCACGGGUGAGUAACGCGUAUCCAACCUGCCCAUCACUUGGGAAUAACCUUGCGAAAGUAAGACUAAUACCCAAUGACAUCCCACGAAGCCAUCUGAAUGGGAUUAAAGAUUUAUCGGUGAUGGAUGGGGAUGCGUCUGAUUAGCUUGUUGGCGGGGUAACGGCCCACCAAGGCAACGAUCAGUAGGGGUUCUGAGAGGAAGGUCCCCCACAUUGGAACUGAGACACGGUCCAAACUCCUACGGGAGGCAGCAGUGAGGAAUAUUGGUCAAUGGGCGAGAGCCUGAACCAGCCAAGUAGCGUGCAGGAUGACGGCCCUAUGGGUAGUAAACUGCUUUUAGAAGGGAAUAAAGUGGGUCUCGUGAGACUUUUUGCAUGUACCUUAUGAAUAAGGACCGGCUAAUUCCGUG
rnacentral:rRNA from 1 species